CGAGUGCCCCAAGCGUUAUCCGGAUCAUUGGGCGUAAAGGGUGUGUAGGUGGUGUGGUUAGUCUUCUGUCAAAAUUCCGAGCUCAACUCGGAACCUGCAGGGGAAACGGCCAGACUCGAGAGUGCGAGGGGUGAAUGGAACUCAUGGAGUAGGGGUGAAAUCCGUUGAUAUCAUGGGGAACACCAAAAGCGAAGGCAAUUCACUGGCGCAUUUCUGACACUGAAACACGAAAGCGUGGGUAGCGAACGGGAUUAGAUACCCCGGUAGUCCACGCCCUAAACGAUGUCAACUAGCUUUGGGGGGAAUCGACCCCCUCCGAGGCGUAGCAAACGCGUUAAGUUGACCGCCUGGGUAGUACGGCCGCAAGGCUA
rnacentral:rRNA from 1 species